GGAGAAAAUAAAAGAAAAAAGAAAAGAAAAGAGAAAAGAGAAGAAGAACACUAUUAUGAGCUUGGGGCCCGAGGCUCCACAUUUGACCCAUGAGACAAGAGACACUGAGCAGAGUUAAUCCAAAAUCACCCAGCUGCAGCUAGAAGUGGGGGAGCUGAGAUCUGACUCCACGUAAUCCCAGGCUCCGAGACCUUUGUUUCCGUUGUCACGUGUGCAGCUGUCUGCCGACAGCACUGAGGCCUUGAGGGCAGCUCCCGGAAUGAGGUGGCCUGGCUUCCUAUCCCAGCUCAACUCUCGAAUGGCAUGAUGAAUUCACCAAGACCCUGAGGGGCUGAUUCUCUGUGGCUCUUUUGGAGCAGAUGUGACCAAGAAAUCAAUACAGCCAUUAGAUUAAUCUGCAGCAACCAUAAUGUCAUUGCAUCUUUCGUCCUGUGAUGUUAACAGAGAUGUCAGAGCCAGGAGGAGAGGAGACACUUAAAAGAAGGAAGAUCCUCUGAAGUGAGGAGAAAAAUGAAAACCCCACGGAGACUCACUUAAUGGACAAGAGAUGGCAGGUGGCUGCCUCUGGUAUCAUCAGGUCUUCUUGCAGAGAAUGCAGUGACUUCGUUGCAGAAGAUAUUUGGCGAUGCCUGGAGACGGUGUUUGGCUGUCAUGACCUGUGGGUGUAUGCAUGUGUGACUAGCAUCUGGUAUGUAGAAGCCAGGGAUGCUACCCACUGUCCGACUGGGCACAGAAUAUCCCCCGCAACAAAGAUUUUUCCAGCCUGCAGUACUGACCAGACCAACGGUACUAAGACUGUGAAAGUCUGGUGGAGACAAGAGACUGAGCAGCCGGUGACUACAUUUCCCAGCAUCCCAAGGGGGCUACGUGUGGCCAGGUGACUGGGUCUCACCAAUGGAGUGUGGACAGGCCUGCUGUGCCCAUGCCUAUGUGCAAGGCUCCUCCCUCUCCCCUCCCUUCUCCCCGAAUCCCCUACCCCUUCCUCUCUCCCGGGAUGGAUGAAAACAGAAACGUGAUUUGGUCUCGUGAUUUGUUUAUUCCUCAUAGACAUUUGUUUCUACAGUCCAACUUGGAGAAUAAACAGGCACAUGGCUGUAAUUUCCACCACAA